UGGGGAAUAUUGGACAAUGGGCGCAAGCCUGAUCCAGCCAUACCGCGUGGGUGAAGAAGGCCUUCGGGUUGUAAAGCCUUUUGUUGGGAAAGAAAUCCAGCCGGCUAAUACCUGGUUGGGAUGACGGUACCCAAAGAAUAAGCACCGGCUAACUUCGUGCCAGCAGCCGCGGUAAUACGAAGGGUGCAAGCGUUACUCGGAAUUACUGGGCGUAAAGCGUGCGUAGGUGGUCGUUUAAGUCCGUUGUGAAAGCCCUGGCUGCAACCUGGGAACUGCAGUGGAUACUGGGCGACUAGAGUGUGGUAGAGGGUAGCGGAAUUCCUGGUGUAGCAGUGAAAUGCGUAGAGAUCAGGAGGAACAUCCAUGGCGAAGGCAGCUACCUGGACCAACACUGACACUGAGGCACGAAAGCGUGGGAGCAAACAGGAUUAGAUA
rnacentral:rRNA from 1 species